CCUACGGGUGGCAGCAGUGAGGAAUAUUGGUCAAUGGACGAGAGUCUGAACCAGCCAAGUAGCGUGAAGGAUGACUGCCCUAUGGGUUGUAAACUUCUUUUAUAUGGGAAUAAAAUGUUCCACGUGUGGGCUUUUGUAUGUACCAUAUGAAUAAGGAUCGGCUAACUCCGUGCCAGCAGCCGCGGUAAUACGGAGGAUCCGAGCGUUAUCCGGAUUUAUUGGGUUUAAAGGGUGCGCAGGCGGAAGAUCAAGUCAGCGGUAAAAUUGAGAGGCUCAACCUCUUCGAGCCGUUGAAACUGGUUGUCUUGAGUGAGCGAGAAGUAUGCGGAAUGCGUGGUGUAGCGGUGAAAUGCAUAGAUAUCACGCAGAACUCCGAUUGCGAAGGCAGCAUACCGGCGCUCAACUGACGCUCAUGCACGAAAGUGUGGGUAUCGAACAGGAUUAGAUACCCGUGUAGUC
rnacentral:rRNA from 1 species